AUGAUAUUCUGGAAAGCAAGGAAACUAGGUCUACAACCAAGAAUCAACUACCCAGCAAAACUGACUAUAUUUUUUCAGGGGAAAGUAUCAUCAUUUAAUAAAAUAAAAGACUUCCACGCAUUCAUAAAGAAAAGAUCAGAUUUGAACAGAAAAUUUGAUGCCCAAACACAGAACUCAAGAGAAUCACCAAAAGCCUGUUACAUGGGAAGCAGAGAUAUUUCAAAGUGAGGAUGAUUGAAACAGAGUUUAGAGUUACUUGUCAGAGAUCAGAAGAAUACAUGCAAGAGGCUGGAGAUCCACAGGUAUGGUACAUUGAACAUAUUUUAACAUUUUUUCCAUGUAUUGGUUAGUUUUGCUG
rnacentral:lncRNA from 1 species